UACGUAGGGUGCAAGCGUUGUCCGGAAUUAUUGGGCGUAAAGAGCUCGUAGGCGGUCUGUCGCGUCUGCUGUGAAAACUCGGGGCUUAACCCCGGGCCUGCAGUGGGUACGGGCAGACUAGAGUGCGGUAGGGGAGACUGGAAUUCCUGGUGUAGCGGUGAAAUGCGCAGAUAUCAGGAGGAACACCGGUGGCGAAGGCGGGUCUCUGGGCCGUAACUGACGCUGAGGAGCGAAAGCAUGGGGAGCGAACAGGAUUAGAAACCCCCGUAGUCC
rnacentral:rRNA from 1 species